rnacentral:ribozyme from 1 species
AGAAUAUGAAAGCAAGUACAACGCAGCUCGUGCCUUCCAAGUGGUUUUUUGCAGAUUGACGCUGGCCACACGAUGCAAUCAAAAUGAUCUCACUCGACCCUGACGGCUUUGAUGACCUGAUUGAGAGAGAAUAGUCUGACAG